UGGGGAAUUUUGGACAAUGGGCGAAAGCCUGAUCCAGCAAUGCCGCGUGUGUGAAGAAGGCCUUCGGGUUGUAAAGCACUUUUGUCCGGAAAGAAAUCCUUGGCUCUAAUACAGUCGGGGGAUGACGGUACCGGAAGAAUAAGCACCGGCUAACUACGUGCCAGCAGCCGCGGUAAUACGUAGGGUGCAAGCGUUAAUCGGAAUUACUGGGCGUAAAGCGUGCGCAGGCGGUUUGCUAAGACCGAUGUGAAAUCCCCGGGCUCAACCUGGGAACUGCAUUGGUGACUGGCAGGCUAGAGUAUGGCAGAGGGGGGUAGAAUUCCACGUGUAGCAGUGAAAUGCGUAGAGAUGUGGGGAAUACCGAUGGCGAAGGCAGCCCCCUGGGCCAAUACUGACGCUCAUGCACGAAAGCGUGGGGAGCAAACAGGAUUAGAUACCCUGGUAGUCCACGCCCUAAACGAUGUCAACUAGUUGUUGGGGAUUCAUUUCCUUAGUAACGUAGCUAACGCGUGAAGUUGACCGCCUGGGGAGUACGGUCGCAAGAUUAAAACUUAAAUGAAUUGACGGGGUC
rnacentral:rRNA from 1 species